rnacentral:rRNA from 1 species
AUUGAACGCUGGCGGCAGGCCUAACACAUGCAAGUCGAACGAGUGGCGGACGGGUGAGUAAUGUAUGGGAAACUGCCUGAUGGAGGGGGAUAACUACUGGAAAAAGUGGCUAAUACCGCAUACCAUCAUAUGGGCCCAGAUGGGAUUAGCUAGUUGGUGGGGUAACGGCUCACCAAGGCGACGAUCCCUAGCUGGUCUGAGAGGAUGACCAGCCACACUGGGACUGAGACACGGUCCAGACUCCUACGGGAGGCAGCAGUGGGGAAUAUUGCGCAAUGGGCGCAAGCCUGAUCCAGCCAUGCCGCGUGUAUGAAGAAGGCCUUCGGGUUGUAAAGUACUUUCGGCAGAGAGGCGUUAUCCGCAGAAGAAGCACCGGCUAACUACGUGCCAGCAGCCGCGGUAAUUC